rnacentral:rRNA from 1 species
GAACCUUCCGCAAUGGGCGCAAGCCUGACGGAGCAACGCCGCGUGAGUGAUGAAGGUCUUCGGAUCGUAAAGCUCUGUUGCCAGGGAAGAACUUGCGUUUGUUGACUGCAGACGCAUUGACGGUACCUGAGAAGAAAGCCCCGGCUAACUCAGUGCCAGCCGCCGCGGUAAUACGUAGGGGGCGAGCGUUGUCCGGAAUUAUUGGGCGUAAAGGGCGCGCAGGCGGUCUUUUAAGUCUGAUGUGAAAGCUUGUGGCUUAACCGCAAGAGGCCAUUGGAAACUGGAAGACUUGAGUGCAGAAGAGGAGAGUGGAAUUCCACGUGUAGCGGUGAAAUGCGUAGAGAUGUGGAGGAACACCAGUGGCGAAGGCGACUCUCUGGUCUGCAACUGACGCUGAGGCGCGAAAGCAUGGGGAGCAAAC